UUAACCGGAUUAGAUACCCUGGUAGUCCACGCUGUAAACGAUGCUAACUCGUUUUUGGGUUUUCGGAUUCAGAGACUAAGCGAAAGUGAUAAGUUAGCCACCUGGGGAGUACGAACGCAAGUUUGAAACUCAAAGGAAUUGACGGGGGCCCGCACAAGCGGUGGAUUAUGUGGUUUAAUUCGAUGAUACGCGAGGAGCCUUACCAAGACUUAAAUGGGAAUUGACAUAUUUAGAAAUAGAUCCUCCUUCGGGCAAUUUUCAAGGUGCUGCAUGGUUGUCGUCAGCUCGUGCCGUGAGGUGUUAGGUUAAGUCCUGCAACGAGCGCAACCCCUGUCACUAGUUGCCAUCAUUAAGUUGGGGACUCUAGUGAGACUGCCUACGCAAGUAGAGAGGAAGGUGGGGAUGACGUA
rnacentral:rRNA from 1 species